rnacentral:rRNA from 1 species
CCUACGGGCGGCUGCAGUAAGGAAUAUUGGUCAAUGGACGCAAGUCUGAACCAGCCAUGCCGCGUGGAGGAUGAAGGUCCUCUGGAUUGUAAACUUCUUUUAUUUGGGAAGAAACUCCCGAUUUCCAUCGGGAUUGACGGUACCAGCUGAAUAAGCACCGGCUAACUCCGUGCCAGCAGCCGCGGUAAUACGGAGGGUGCAAGCGUUAUCCGGAUUCACUGGGUUUAAAGGGUGCGUAGGAGUGAGUGGUGAAAUCUCCGGGCUUAAGCAGGAAACUGCCGUUGAUACUAUUUGUCUUGAAUACUCUGGAGGUGAGCGGAAUAUGUCAUGUAGCGGUGAAAUGCUUAGAUAUGACAUAGAACACCCAUUGCGAAGGCAGCUCACUACGGAAAUAUUGACGCUGAGGCACGAAAGCGUGGGGAUCGAACAGGAUUAGAUACCCUUGUAGUC